rnacentral:rRNA from 1 species
UUCGCAAUGCCCGAAAGGGUGACGAAGCGACGCCGCGUGCGGGAAGAAGGCCUUCGGGUUGUAAACCGCUGUCGGGAGUUAAGAAAUGCAAGGGUGUUAACAGCAUCCUUGCUUGACUAAGGCUCCGGAGGAAGCCACGGCUAACUCUGUGCCAGCAGCCGCGAUAAUACAGAGGCGGCAAGCGUUGUUCGGAAUUAUUGGGCGUAAAGAGCACGUAGGCGGCUGUGUAAGUCGGUUGUGAAAGCCUUCCGCUCAACGGGAGAACGGCAUCCGAUACUGCAUGGCUUGAGUGCGGGGGGGGAGAGUGGAACUUCUGGUGGAGCGGUGAAAUGCGUAGAUAUCAGAAGGAACACCGGCGGCGAAGGCGACUCUCUGGCCCGUAACUGACGCUGAGUGUGCGAAAGCUAGGGGAGCAAACGGGAUUAGAUACCCCGGUAGUCCUAGCCGUAAACGAUGGGCACUAAGUAGAGGGGUUUUA